ensembl:miRNA Mir1934 microRNA 1934
CUGGGCCUUCUUUCUGGUCCCCUGCUUCGUCCUCUGUCCAGAUGUUAAGAGGAUGACGGUGGGGCUGGUGAGAUGGCUCAGCG